GCUAAUACCGAAUGAUAAGAUGUGGCGCAUGCCACGCCUUUGAAAGAUGGUUUCGGCUAUCGCUUACAGAUGGGCCCGCGGUGCAUUAGCUAGUUGGUAGGGUAAUGGCCUACCAAGGCAACGAUGCAUAGCCGACCUGAGAGGGUGAUCGGCCACACUGGGACUGAGACACGGCCCAGACUCCUACGGGAGGCAGCAGUAGGGAAUCUUCCGCAAUGGACGAAAGUCUGACGGAGCAACGCCGCGUGUAUGAAGAAGGUUUUCGGAUCGUAAAGUACUGUUGUUAGAGAAGAACAAGGAUAAGAGUAACUGCUUGUCCCUUGACGGUAUCUAACCAGAAAGCCACGGCUAACUACGUGCCAGCAGCCGCGGUAAUACGUAGGUGGCAAGCGUUGUCCGGAUUUAUUGGGCGUAAAGCGCGCGCAGGCGGUCUUUUAAGUCUGAUGUGAAAGCCCCCGGCUUAACCGGGGAGGGUCAUUGGAAACUGGAAGACUGGAGUGCAGAAGAGGAGAGUGGAAUUCCACGUGUAGCGGUGAAAUGCGUAGAUAUGUGGAGGAACACCAGUGGCGAAGGCGACUCUCUGGUCUGUAACUGACGCUGAGGCGCGAAAGCGUGGGGAGCAAACAGGAU
rnacentral:rRNA from 1 species